rnacentral:Y_RNA from 1 species
GGCUGGUUCGAGUGUAGUGGCAUUUACAAUUCAUUGAUCACAGCCAGUUACAGAGUUCUCUGUUCCUGCUCCACUCCCACUGCUUCACUUGACUAGCCUUAA